rnacentral:tmRNA from 1 species
GGGGGCGACAUGGCUUCGACGGGGGCAUGGAGUAUGGAGUAGCCGAAGGUUGUCGCCAAACAACCUAAAAAGUGGCAAACUUAAAUUAAACGCAAACGAUAAUUACGCAUUAGCUGCCUAAUAUAGGCAACUCGCUUCCUCUAAUAGUCCCGCCUAUUAGAGAGUAAGCGCCAUUAAAUUGCGGGGCACUGCUUAAGGGGUUUCUUCGACCUUAAGUAGAACAAUUGAAGAUAGUUCAUUAUAGAGCUGGUUGUUGGGCGCUAUAAUGAAUGAAUAUAAAUCAGCAACUGUUUCGGGAGAAGCUCCAUAUGAAUUGCCUUCGGACGUGGGUUCGAUUCCCACCGCCUCCACCA